GUGAAAAUUGAAUUUGAAGACGGAUGCAUUAGGAGAAACAUUUAAACGUGUGACAAGUCAAGACUUGAGGAAGUUCAACAACAGAAAAUAUAAUCUGAAGUUGUAACUUUGACCGAGGAGAGAACCUAAAAAAAGAACACUCGACACAUAAGGAUGGAUCCUAAAGGACAAGCAAAUGAUAUAUCCAUUCAGCACAUUCAGCAUUACCUUGAAAUUUGUCACAAUGCAACACUGAAAAGUUAUUCAAAAGAUGGUUUCAUUGAUGGAAGAGAAAUACUCAAAAGAGAAGCAAGAAAUAUUGAAGACGUCCUUUCGACCUGUACCACUGGGAAUGAACAAGUUUCACAAAUAUUGAUGACAAGCGAUUUAUUUCAAUCGUCAUGCAGAUUCUUUUUCAAUACGGCCAUCAAUGGCGUCAUUUCUGAAGAGAUACUGAUCAAAUUUGUACAAACUUGCUCCGACUUAGCA